rnacentral:lncRNA from 1 species
GUCCCUCUCCUUCCCUGCCACUCAGCAGGCAGCAGAGUAAAACCAACCACAAGAAAUCAGAGCAGUUUGCUCAGCAACAGUGGGAGAAGCAGGUUUACUUACGCCAGGUAAAUAAUGCAUGAGCCGGGGCUGAGAAAGACAGCAGCCAAGUUCAUGUUACUAACGGGUUCACUGAACCUCAUGGCUGGGCUCCUGAGCCAGAGUCCCAGGGGAUAAGGUUGCAAGUCCCCGCUGCCCCCUCCUCUCCAAUGGAAUCCUUUCUGUGUGCAGGGUUUUUGUUUAGAGGGUGUUUUUUUCGGUCUUGGGGUUUUUGUUGUUGUUGUUGUUGUUGUUUUGUGUUUUGUUUUUCCUGGUCUCACUUUGCUAGCUCCUACUCCCUCUAUCAAACAGCCUCUGCCCAGGAGGAAGCCCCCACCCUCUCUAUGUCCCACCUUUAGAGAAGGGGUCAGGGAGAGGCCCUGAUUUGCAACGAGCAAUGCAACAGAGGCCAAGCAUGGGGCAGGCUCCCCAGCCUUCUCCCAUCUGCCAGAAGAUGGUUUGUUUCCAGACCCAUUAGCUAUACCCGAUAGGUUGGCCCGGUCCCCACGCUCCCUGGCACCGACAAACCGUGCCCAGAAGAAAUGUAAACUGAACCAAAUCGUGAAAGAACAACUUGCGAUAAGGACCGCGGGCUCCUCCCCCACCGCCCCGAGUAACUGAUACCACAUCUCCAUCUCUCUGCCCACCCACCUGCCCCAGCCCAGAAGGGGCUGGUGAACACCGUGGUCAAAGCACUGGGCUCCUUUUUCUUUCAGUUCUGUAAAUGCUGAAUGAUAGUGUGUGUGGAGACAACGUUUUCCCGAUUUGACACACACCCCACGACUCCAUCCCAAACAGAGUCACUCACUGAGAUCAUUCAAACUCCAGGCUCAGAAGCUUUCCAACGCCUGUCAUGCCAGGAUCCAGAGACACAGGAUGCGUUGGCAGAAGUGAAGAUGGUGAAAGUUACAAACGGUGCAGAGGCUACAGGAAAACAGCUCCCAAAAGAGGCGUCCUGGGCUUGUCAUCUUACAGAACGUCCGAACCUGCUUCCCAAGCCCCCUGGGUGGCACCACCUGUGCUGUGUGGUCUUCCCCGGCAGCACUGGGAGCAGUCCCCAGGCUGUGCCCUUGUCUUUUUCAUCUCUGGAUCCCCUGUGCCCAGGACAGUGCAGAGCAGGUGGGCUGCGAGGCUCCGUGAAUACAUGUGGCAUGAGGGCCAGACGAGCCGAGCUGCCACUGUUGCUAGCCAGCUCUGCUUCCCGCUCCCAGCUGGUAGGACAGAGAGAAUGCUAUUUAUGAAAACACCAAGCCAAACAAGGCCCUCCCUUCCCUGAAGCCGAAGCUGUGCUGGGAACAGCCAGGGGUCACCAAAUGGUGGCCAGAUGGCAACUGACUGCUGCUCCUGAGCUCGAGGGGCCGCCCACCUGCUCCCAGAGACCUGCGAACGAGCCACUUGGUGGGGGAAAACUCAGACGGCCCCCACCUCCUGAAUCCCCUGCUGCACCCACGUCUCAGGGCUGAGGCUUUGCCAGUUCCCAGCCUGCAGCCCAACCUGGCUCCUAGAGGUGCGGCUUUCCUUCCCCCAGGUUCUUCCCUUUCAGGGAGGCCCCGUUGGGUUCGCUACAGGCAGCGGAGGCGGUGGGCACCGGGCCCAGGCCAGGCAAGCCGGCAGAGGCCGGGCACACUCCCUUGGUGCGGCAGCUCGGAGGACACGGUGGCCGAGGAAGAGGGAAGGGUUUUCCUGCCAUGUUCUCCAACAAAGAGAGCUGAGCGGGCUUUGGGGAGAGCUCUGUUUCCCUUGGUUUCAUUCAGCUCCGGUCUCCUCCUCCCACAGAUCUGGGAGGCGAGCGGCCCCCAGCUGGUUAUCAGGUCCCUGAGCGUGAGGGCCUUUAUCUCCCCUCAGACUGCGGAGCUCGCAGGCCAGAGGCCUACAAAUCCUCCCUGACCCUCCUGCCUCUUUGUUAUCUCGGAGGGAAGAUUACAUUUCUGUGUGGAGAGGCAAGGUGCCAGGAGCGCUGGAGCAGGAGUGGGACGAGGCAGGCAGGCAGGGCCGCAGGCUGACCCCUGCUGCCUGUAGAGGCUCAGGGCUGCCCUGGGAAUGGCUCCCUCCACUGGCCCGGGGCCUUCCAGAAGUGCUGGGGUCUGCAUUUCACCGGCGGUGCGGCCAGGUGUUUGCUCCGCCCUCGGCCCAGGCAUCUGCGGGUUUCUCGCAGUCUCCGCUCUGCCUGUGGCUGCUUCCCUGAGAACUGCGGAGGGUACUGCUGGCGGGCUGGCUGCUUGCUUCCAUUUUGGUUUGCUG